GUCAAAAAUCUGAAAGUGACUAUUGUCACGUAAUGUUCUAAAAUACCUUCACCCAGAGAUUCUUGUUUUACUUGGCCGCUCUUAUUUUGAAAGCUUGAAACUUCGUAGCUUGAUAGCUGCUCUUAACAAUGUCACUGAUCCAAACCAUUCCUGUUUUUACAAUUAUCCCCUAAAAUAUCCCGUAGAACAAGUGAAUUUAGCCUGGGAAGGGACGUUCAUGUUCAUGUAUAACUAGUUUGGCAGCUGAAAUGUAAUUUUAAUGGUGAGAUAUAAAUGCAUUUCUGUGCUAUCUUGUGUUUAAGUUCUUAAAGAUAGCAUAAAGAUUAUUUAAAAUAGUUUUCCCACUAUGUGAACUAUGGCCCAUAUUGGAAGAAACACAACACACUCCUAUUUACUCAGAUUUUUCAUUCUUCUUUUUUUCAUUUUUAAAUUCUGUCUUUAACUUUAGGUUCUUUGAAUGCCAGGGGUUUAAAAAAACACCAUUAAACGUAAAGCACUGUUCCUAUUUGCUAAACAAUUAAAAACAGAUUUUUUUUCUUGUUUUCUUCUUCUACAAGUAAUGACACAAACUUCUGGAAGUGUCAAUGGGGUGAAAAUAUAUACCCAUCACAUGGUAGCAGCAUUCAGCUGGCCCUCUCACAGUUAAAACCAAAUUUGAAGGUGACAUCCUACAGGGCAAAUGUGACAGUCAGGGACAUGGUGUAUUCAUGAUAAUAUCCACGCACAGGAAGAUCUUUAUUACUAUUAACAUAUACGGUUACAACUCUAAACCUGAAAACUCCCAGCUCCUUUCUUUGAUUGAAAAUUAUAUAAUUUGUGGCCUUAACAAAUUUAGACUAGGCCCCAAAACAGGGAAGCUUAUUGGAUUCUAAAUAACUCACUACUUAAACUGGACAUAGUACAAGAAAAGGUUUCUGAAUGAGUCUCUUAUUUCUAUAAUUAAGCUAAAGAAGAAAGAACUGGGAACUUUUCUUGCCCAGGUAUUUGUAGAGAGCAUAGAAAAAGGCAUCCUUCCUCUAAUGUUAAAUCAAGGAGUACUCACCCUUGUACCAAAAUCCAAAAAAGAUAUACUUCUCAUUGACAAUUGGCGCCCAAUAUAUCUAUUAAAUAAUGACUAUUAUUAUGCAUCUGUCUUUGGCAAAAACUUAAAUUUGUUCUAAAUUUAGUUAUUGCAGAGACGCAAUCUGGAUCCUUACAAAACAGACACAUCUCCAACAAUAUUCGUCUUGUUCUUGACAUUCUAGAUUACUCACACCUGGUUUCUGAUGAUAGUUUUAUACUCUUUUUAGACUUUUAGAAAGCCUUUGACUCUGUUAAUCACAACCUUUGCUGAUUAUAUCACUCAAUGUCAAUUCAAGGCAUCUCAGUUUUUGAUAAAGCUAUUCUAUUGAAAAAAUAACUACAUUUCAAAAUAGUCUAAAAAACUGUCCAUUUAUAACAAUUAAACAAAAUGAUCUGGAGGGCUGGAUAUAAUAACAUGGAGGGUUGACUUCUCCCCCAUGGUAAUGUCAUUCGCACUCACUCUCUUUGUUUCUGUACUUUUUCUUAUCUCUAUAAAUUAUUUUUAUGUGUUUUUAGUGCCAAUUUUGAUGCAGUGUUUUGUUUUGAUCACGUAGUGAGCCGCUUAUGUGUCAAAGUUCAGUUGACAGUGUUUUAAAUGUUCUAACACGGUCACGUUUAAUCUCAGGAACUACUUUGAUCAUACUGUACAUGGUAGUGUUUUGUGAAAACUGAUUGGUGUUUUUAGGAAGGCAAACUUCACUUUUUUGGAUGUCAUUGUGUAUAUACAAUGACAAACUAACAUAUAGUGUAAGACAAUUAGACAACAGCAGAAAUAGUACGCUGAGAUUUGCAAAGUUAGUGAUGAAUUCAGUUAGCCACAACCGAAAAAUGAAAGAUUGGUCUUAUUUUAAAACAGAAAUACAGCACACAGCUCCGUGCACAAUCCAUUCAGAUUGUUGAAGAUGGUAUGGUUAGCUUGGUGUGAUUAAAAAAAAAAAAAAGGCAAAUAAAUGUAUCUUUUCCAUUAGCAGGAUGAACAAGAAAGAAAUGCCAGCAAAGAAAACGUUACGGAUUCCAACCCAGAAAGUGAAGGUCUGAGAGAACACCCCUUAACGGAAUGAGCAAUCUAAUCCAGACCAGGUCUGAGAGCUUCAGACUCUUUCAAACCUCAUUGGAGAGAGACUUCACCAUAGCCCAUCUUCACCAUCAGGCCAGCGGGAGCUCUUCCCUGGGUGUGGUGUGUUUGUGUCAUCGUUCUGCCUUGCUGCCAUGAACCACGCAUCUAAACCACAUCGCAUGCAUCAGUUUCAUGCACUGUCCAAUCAUGUCCUCACUGUUGGAGUAUCAAAGUCCCUUUUGGUCUUCCUGGAAAUAAUCCCUC